CCUACGGGAGGCAGCAGUAAGGAAUCUUGCGCAAUGGGCGAAAGCCUGACGCAGCGACGCCGCGUGGGCGAUGAAGGCCUUCGGGUUGUAAAGCCCUUUUCUGGGGGACGAGGAAGGACGGUACCCCAGGAAUAAGUCACGGCUAACUACGUGCCAGCAGCCGCGGUAAUACGUAGGUGGCAAGCGUUAUCCGGAUUUACUGGGCGUAAAGAGCGCGUAGGCGGUCGAUUAAGUUGGAUGUGAAAGCCCCCGGCUUAACUGGGGAGGGUCAUCUGAAACUGAUCGACUUGAAGGCAGGAGAGGGAAGUGGAAUUCCCGGUGUAGGGGUAAAAUGCGUAGAUAUCGGGAGGAACACCAGUGGCGAAGGCGGCUUCCUGGCCUGCUCUGGACGCUGAGGCGCGAAAGCUAGGGGAGCGAACCGAAUUAGACACCCGGGUAGU
rnacentral:rRNA from 1 species